rnacentral:lncRNA from 1 species
AAGGCGCGUAGCGUGAAUCCUGGUUCAACCGUAGUUGAACCUUAGUAAUUUUUGAAGUCGAAGGCGCGUAGCCUGAGUCCCGGUUCAACUCUCAACCGUAGUUGAGCCUUAGUAAUAUUUGAAGUCGAAGGCACGUAGCCUGAGUCCCGGUUCAACCGUAGUUGAACCUUAGUAAUUUUUUAAGUCGAAGGCAUGUAGCCUGAGUCCAUGUUCAACCUUAGUUGAGCCUUAGUAAUUUUUGAAGUCGAAGGCGUGCAGCCUGAGUGUCGUUCAACCGUAGUUGAGCCUUAGUAAUUUUUGUAGUUGAAGGCGCAUAGCGUGAGUUCUGGUUCAACCGUAUUUGAACCUUAGUAAUU